UCAACUUUGGAUCGUACACUGUGAAUGAAAAUACAGGAAAGCACUGAAAAUGUGCAUGAAUUCCUUCUGUUCCCAUGGGGAUGAUAACCAUCUUAAGUAGUCUCAUUAAAGAACUGGAAGCUCUGCUCCGUCACACGAGUGGCAGUAAAAGGAUUCUGUGUGUGUCUGUGUGUGUGGGUGUGUGUGUUUAAGCGCGAGAUAGAGAGUGAAAAGGCAGCUUUCACGGUUUGUUGUCUGCUUUAUUUCUUUGACAUGUUUAACCUCGUAGAUGUAAUUAUCAUUUUUGUCACACCAGCACCUUAGGAUUAUUUACUCUAUAUUGUUUUACUUAAAUUAGUCACAAUACGCAGUAGAUCAAGUCUGACUGGCACGUUGCCAUCAGAGAAUAAAACAUCUGAGCUGGCUGUGCUUGUAGUAAUGUAUUAAACCUGAGCUCAGCAGACAGCAAUGCAUUUCAUCAAAUUAAACACAACUCACCUGGUAUAUUGCAGAUGUGUCAGAACCAGGCUGCAGCACAGGCUACUGUGCUUCUGUUGUGUUUCUGCUAUAAUCUUCUCUCUGUGUUUUCAGGUGUCGUUUUAUUGGUCCUACAAGUUGCAGCUCCAGAAUCUCAGGAGGUCACCGUGUCUGUCAGACCUCCAGGGUCAAACAUCUACCUCGGUGAGUGUGUGAUGCUGCUGUGUGCAGUGGAGUCAAACUCCACAUCGGUGAAGAACUACCUGUGGUUCAGGUCCCAGAAACACUCUGCUCCAAACCCCAGGCACCUGGUCUCCAGGGACAGCUACUACAUCACUGCUGUCACAGUGGAGGAUGCUGACAAGUACUGGUGCCAAGCUGAGUGUCGGGGGAACAGGAGUGUGUACGUAGUGGAAGCUCGGCCGGUCACGCUCACUGUGUCAGACCUAUCCCCUCCCACACUGUCUCUCACUCCCAACGCCAGACAUAUGCUGGGAGGAGAGCGUUUCACCUUGCAGUGUCCAACCUCUCAGACUGACUCCUCUAGUUGGAAAUUGAUGCAUUUCCUCCCAGGCAACUCAACGGGGACCACAGUUGUCUCUGCCCACCAUUUAACACCAGGAGGCGGUGUUCCUGCAAAAAACUCUGAUGUGUUAAUGUUCAUUGCUGCUGGCAGGAACAGUGGACUGUACUGGUGUGAGGGCCCCGCGGGCCGCAGCAAUGCAGUCUACAUUACAGUAAGCUAUGGCACCAUCAUCCUGAAAACUCCUGCCUUCCCUGUGGUUGAGGGCGAGACUGUCUCCCUGUACUGUCAGUAUCAGAGAGGCAGCCAUACUAAAACAAGUUUUUUUAAAAAUGGAGAAGAAAUUAAAAAAAUCACCACUGCAACUUCAGGGAGAGUAACAACAAUGGUGAUCCGCAACGUAACACGAGACGACGAAGGCUUCUACAGAUGUGCUUCACAAGACGGAAAGAUGCAGAGUUCAGGGAGCUGGCUGUCAGUGCGACCUGACCGAGGAAACUUCACAUCUUUAGAAGAGCCACCAACUUCCAGCAGUGAAAAUGCAGUUAGAGAUUCUGUCCUAUACAGAGGUGUCUUGAAAGCAGGAUGUGUACUGAAGUGAUAGGAGUGUUUGAAACAGCUUCAUUCACUGAAGAGCAGGGGCUCGUGGAAGGUGAUCGUAGGAUCCAGCGUAGCUGUACUUCUGCUCCUCACGUCUUUAGUUGUGGGCCUUGUUUAUUACUACAGGUACAAAAUGAUUUGCAUCCAGAGCUGCUGGCCAGUUUCCAAACAGGAGAA